UACGUAGGUGGCAAGCGUUGUCCGGAAUUAUUGGGCGUAAAGAGCGCGUAGGCGGUCCGAUAAGUCGGCUGUGAAAGUCAGGGGCUCAACCCUUGGAAGCCGGCCGAUACUGUCGGACUAGAGUCCGGAAGAGGCGAGUGGAAUUCCCGGUGUAGCGGUGAAAUGCGCAGAUAUCGGGAGGAACACCAAUGGCGAAGGCAGCUCGCUGGGACGGUACUGACGCUGAGGUGCGAAAGCGUGGGGAGCAAACAGG
rnacentral:rRNA from 1 species